GCUUGCACCGAGCGGAUGAGUUGCGAACGGGUGAGUAACGCGUAGGUAACCUGCCUCUUAGCGGGGGAUAACUAUUGGAAACGAUAGCUAAUACCGCAUAAAAGUCGACAUUGCAUGAUGUUGAUUUGAAAGGUGCAAUUGCAUCACUAAGAGAUGGACCUGCGUUGUAUUAGCUAGUUGGUGAGGUAACGGCUCACCAAGGCGACGAUACAUAGCCGACCUGAGAGGGUGAUCGGCCACACUGGGACUGAGACACGGCCCAGACUCCUACGGGAGGCAGCAGUAGGGAAUCUUCGGCAAUGGGGGCAACCCUGACCGAGCAACGCCGCGUGAGUGAAGAAGGUUUUCGGAUCGUAAAGCUCUGUUGUAAGAGAAGAACGAGUGUGAGAGUGGAAAGUUCACACUGUGACGGUAACUUACCAGAAAGGGACGGCUAACUACGUGCCAGCAGCCGCGGUAAUACGUAGGUCCCGAGCGUUAUCCGGAUUUAUUGGGCGUAAAGCGAGCGCAGGCGGUUAGAUAAGUCUGAAGUUAAAGGCUGUGGCUUAACCAUAGUACGCUUUGGAAACUGUUUAACUUGAGUGCAGAAGGGGAGAGUGGAAUUCCAUGUGUAGCGGUGAAAUGCGUAGAUAUAUGGAGGAACACCGGUGGCGAAAGCGGCUCUCUGGUCUGUAACUGACGCUG
rnacentral:rRNA from 1 species